rnacentral:rRNA from 1 species
UACGUAGGGGGCAAGCGUUGUCCGGAAUCAUUGGGCGUAAAGCGCGCGUAGGCGGCCCGGUAAGUCCGUUGUGAAAGUCAAAGGCUCAACCUUUGAACGCCGAUGGAUACUGCCGGGCUAGAGUCCGGAAGAGGCGAGUGGAAUUCCUGGUGGUAGCGGUGGAAUGCGCAGAUAUCAGGAGGAACACCAAUAGCGAAGGCAGCUCGCUGGGACGGUACUGACGCUGAGGCGCGAAAGCGUGGGGAGCGAACAGG